rnacentral:rRNA from 1 species
UACGGGGGGAGCAAGCGUUGUUCGGAUUUACUGGGCGUAAAGGGCGCGUAGGCGGCAGAUUAAGUCAGCUGUGAAAUCUCCGAGCUUAACUCGGAACUGUCAGCUGAUACUGUUUUGCGUAGAGUGCGGAAGGGGCAAUCGGAAUUCUUGGUGUAGCGGUGAAAUGCGUAGAUAUCAAGAGGAACACCUGAGGUGAAGACGGGUUGCUGGGCCGACACUGACGCUGAGUGCGCGAAAGCCAGGGGAGCAAACGGG